GAUCAUGGCUCAGGAUGACCGCUAGCGGCAGGCUUAACACAUGCAAGUCGAGGGGCAGCGGGGUGUAGCAAUACACUGCCGGCGACCGGCGCACGGGUGCGUAACGCGUAUGCAACCUACCCAUAACAGGGGCAUAACACUGAGAAAUUGGUACUAAUUCCCCAUAACAUUUGAAGAGGCAUCUCUUUGGGUUGAAAACUCCGGUGGUUAUGGAUGGGCAUGCGUUGUAUUAGCUAGUUGG
rnacentral:rRNA from 1 species